GAUGAACGCUGGCGGCGUGCCUAAUACAUGCAAGUCGAGCGAACGGACGAGAAGCUUGCUUCUCUGAUGUUAGCGGCUGAUGGGUGAGUAACACGUGGCUAACCUACCUAUAAGACUGGGAUAACUUCGGGAAACCGUAGCUCAUACCGGAUAAUAUUUUGAACCGCAUGGUUCAAAAGUGAAAGACGGUCUUUCUGUCACUUAUAGAUUGAUCCCCGCUGCAUUAGCUAGUUGGUAAGGUAACGGCUUACCAAGGCAACGAUGCAUAGCCGACCUGAGAGGCUGGUCGCUGAAACUGGAAUUAAGAAACGGUGCGAACACUUAAGGGAGGCAGCAGUAGGGAGUAUUCAGGAAUGGUCGAAAACCUGACGGGACGACUCCGCGUGGGUGAUGAAGGUCUUCGGAGCGUAAAACUGUGUUAUGAGUGAAAAACAAAUGUGUAAGGAACAUGGCACAUCUUGACGGUACGAAAUCAGAAAGCCACGGCUAACUACAUG
rnacentral:rRNA from 1 species